ACGCCCUUAAGUCCCCUCUAGGGAUAAGGAGCCGAUAUCAGGCACAACAAAACCGCCCAAGACAUCUAGCUACGCCACACCCACAAGGGAACUCAGCAGUGAUUAACAUUGAGCAUAAGCGACAGCUCGACUCAGUUAAAGUAAAAAGGGCCGGCAAAUCUGGUGCCAGCCGCCGCGGUUACACCACGUGGCCCAAAUUGACUUCUAUCGGCGUAAAGCGUGAUUAAAGUACAACCACCAUUGGAGUUAAACUAAAACUAAGCUGUAACACGCUUGUGCUUAAGAAAACCAAAAACGAAAGUUACUCCAAAUCAACCAACUUGAACCCACGACAACUGAAACACAAACUGGGAUUAGAUACCCCACUAUGCUCAGCCGUAAACUUUAAAUUACACCAAAAUCGCCGGGGAACUACGAGCAAAGCUUAAAACCCAAAGGACUUGACGGUACCCCACAUCCACCUAGAGGAGCCUGUCCUAUAAUCGAUACCCCCCGCUUAACCUCACCACUUUUAGCCAAAUCAGCCUGUAUACCUCCGUCGUCAGCUUACCACGUGAGCGCAACUCAGUGAGCCCAAUGCCCACACGCCAAUACGUCAGGUCAAGGUGCAGCAAAUGAAGUGGAAAGAGAUGGGCUACACUCUCUAACAUAGAAAACACAGAAGACUACCUAUGAAACCUAGUCUAAAGGCGGAUUUAGAAGUAAAAAGAAAGCACGAGCGUUCUUUUUA
rnacentral:rRNA from 1 species